rnacentral:rRNA from 1 species
GUGGGGAAUAUUGGACAAUGGGCGAAAGCCUGAUCCAGCCAUGCCGCGUGUGUGAAGAAGGUCUUCGGAUUGUAAAGCACUUUAAGUUGGGAGGAAGGGCAGUAAGUUAAUACCUUGCUGUUUUGACGUUACCGACAGAAUAAGCACCGGCUAACUUCGUGCCAGCAGCCGCGGUAAUACGAAGGGUGCAAGCGUUAAUCGGAAUUACUGGGCGUAAAGCGCGCGUAGGUGGUUUUGUAAGUUGGAGGUGAAAACCCCGGGCUCAACCUGGGAACUGCCUCCAAAACUGCAUGACUAGAGUACGGUAGAGGGUAGUGGAAUUUCCUGUGUAGCGGUGAAAUGCGUAGAUAUAGGAAGGAACACCAGUGGCGAAGGCGACUACCUGGACUGAUACUGACACUGAGGUGCGAAAGCGUGGGGAGCAAACAGGAUUAGAUACCCUAGUAGUCC